AUGGACCACGCGUCCACUGCGGUUGUGAGCGCGCCGUCCGCGCCCACCUGACCGCUGCUCGC
rnacentral:sRNA from 1 species